UUUGGACAGCUCAAAUCAUUAGGAAAUUCUUCCUAACAUGGAACCAGAAUCCACCUUCAUUUUUUUCCCCAUUGGCCGCCCUUCUCUGCACAGGGCAACACAGAGCCUUACUCUACUGAAAUAUUGUUGAGGAAAGAACAGUGAACUCAAUUUCUCUAGGCAUCUGGUUUGAAUUAGCUAUUUCACAAAUCCUUUUCUCCUAACUGGCACCAAAUUUCGUUAUAAUUGAAAAAAAAACCCACACAUUUUCACCUUAUAAACAAAAAUUUCCAAACAUCUUAAUGUAGAAAACGUUCCUAUGGUUUCUUGUUCUGGGGAGCAUGUUGGAAUUUUAGGAAAAUAUUGUGACUUACUCGAAUGUGCUGGAGGGAACGGUGUGAACCAACGUUCUCUGCUACCUAGAGACUGGAUGCCACUGCAGAUUUGCCCCUUUCUAAAGCCCCACCAGCGCAGUCCAUCCCCAAAGAACCGCAAACCAGAAUCCUGGAUAUAAUUUGAUCUUCAUUAUGGAGAGGGCAGCGGAAUCAGAUAAUAGAAGUCCUGAAGAGUUUAAGUAACAGAGGAUCAACCUCGCGUUCCCCAUCCGGCCCUGCUCCCCAGCUGAGGUCACCUUACACUUCCUAGCUUGAGGCCUUUGCAGAAUCCAUACAAGCUGUGAAAUGAUUCCUUUCCAUGAAGCCCCGGAACAAAGCCGCUCGCUCUCCGCUUUCUGAAUCAUCAAAACUCAUUCAAGUUACAUAAACAAGCACAUGGACAAAGAAAACAGUUCAGUAGUUACCAG
rnacentral:lncRNA from 1 species